GACGAACGCUGGCGGCGUGCUUAACACAUGCAAGUCGAACGGUAAGGCCCUUCGGGGUACACGAGUGGCGAACGGGUGAGUAACACGUGGGUGAUCUGCCCUGCACUUCGGGAUAAGCCUGGGAAACUGGGUCUAAUACCGGAUAGGACCACUGCCUGCAUGGGUGGUGGUGGAAAGCUUUUGCGGUGGGGGAUGGGCCCGCGGCCUAUCAGCUUGUUGGUGGGGUGAUGGCCUACCAAGGCGACGACGGGUAGCCGGCCUGAGAGGGUGACCGGCCACACUGGGACUGAGAUACGGCCCAGACUCGUACGGGAGGCAGCAGUGGGGAAUAUUGCACAAUGGGCGCAAGCCUGAUGCAGCGACGCCGCGUGAGGGAUGACGGCCUUCGGGUUGUAAACCUCUUUCAGCACCGACGAAGCGCAAGUGACGGUAGGUGCAGAAGAAGGACCGGCCAACUACGUGCCAGCCGCCGCCGUAAAAC
rnacentral:rRNA from 1 species